UACGAAGGGGGCUAGCGUUGCUCGGAAUCACUGGGCGUAAAGCGCACGUAGGCGGCUUUCUAAGUCAGGGGUGAAAUCCUGGAGUCAACUCCAGAACUGCCUUUGAUACUGGAGAGCUUGAGUCCGGGAGAGGUGAGUGGAACUCCGAGUGUAGAGGUGAAAUGCGUAGAUAUCUGGAGGAACACCGGUGGCGAAGGCGGCAUCCUGGACCGGUAUUGACGCUGAGGCGCGAAAGCUAGGGGAGCAAACGGG
rnacentral:rRNA from 1 species